rnacentral:rRNA from 1 species
UACGAAGGGAGCUAGCGUUGUUCGGAAUCACUGGGCGUAAAGCGCACGUAGGCGGAUGUGUCAGUCAGGGGUGAAAUCCCGGAGCUCAACUUCGGAACUGCCUUUGAUACAGCACAUCUGGAGUCCGGAAGAGGUGGGUGGAAUUCCUAGUGUAGAGGUGAAAUUCGUAGAUAUUAGGAAGAACACCGGUGGCGAAGGCGGCGACCUGGGUAGAUACUGACGCUGAGGUGCGAAAGCGUGGGGAGCAAACAGG